ACUCAAAGGAAUUGACGGGGGCCCGCACAAGCGGAGGAACAUGUGGUUUAAUUCGAUGAUACGCGAGGAACCUUACCCGGGUUUAAAUGGUGAGUGACAGGGGCAGAGAUGCCUUUUUCUUCGGACACUCAUCAAGGUGCUGCAUGGUUGUCGUCAGCUCGUGCCGUGAGGUGUCGGGUUAAGUCCCAUAACGAGCGCAACCCACGUUGUCAGUUACCAGCAUGUAAAGAUGGGGACUCUGGCAAGACUGCCGGUGUAAACCGCGAGGAAGGUGUGGAUGACGUCAAAUCAGCACGGCCCUUACAUCCGGGGCUACACACGUGUUACAAUGGCCGGUACAGAGGGCAGCUACACCGCGAGGUGGUGCCAAUCCCAUAAAACCGGUCCCAGUUCGGAUCGGAGUCUGCAACCCGACUCCGUGAAGCUGGAUUCGCUAGUAAUCGCGCAUCAGCCAUGGCGCGGUGAAUACGUUCCCGGGCCUUGUACACACCGCCCGU
rnacentral:rRNA from 1 species